UAAGAGCUUGCAAGCCAUAAAUAUUCGUCUUCUCUUUCACACUCCAAGAUUCAAAACCUCUUCUUAAUAAAGUUGGAAGAAAAAGAUUACCUGGAGGGAAUAUCCAGUCGUAAUCCCGAAUAUAACAGGGAUGUCGAUUUGGUUGAGUUGGUAAAGAUGUUGCUUGUUAAACCUUAAGUUCUGGGUUCAAUCCUUGGUUUUCAGCAUUUUUCAUUUUUAACAUAUUUUUUAUUUUCUACUAGUUUUUAUUAUUAUUACCAUUUUUAUUUAUUUUAAACCUUUUAUUUAUUUUUUUAUUUUUAUUUUUUCUCCUUUUUUUUUAAACACUUGUUGAUUUUAAUGUUAAACAUCGAUUUGUAAUUUAUGGAUUUGACAAUUUUCUUGUUAUUUAUCCAUGAGUAUUUUAUCGAUAUAUUGAUAGUAUUUCACCGCGUUUCGAUUAAUCGCAUAUGACAUUUCAAUUGUUGUCAAUAUGUGCAAACCGGCUUUGAGCACAUUAUUUAGGGUUUGUGUGUUCCUCAAUUUCCAUCCGUGCAAAUCCCGAUUUUAUCUUUCUUUGAUUUAAUUUUUAAGUGUUUUGUAAAUAUAAUUUGUUGUGUUAUUUAUUUUCUUCACAUGGCUUACUCUUGGGCCUUCUUACAAUGAGCUCUUAAGCAACAUCAACUAAACUUUCAAUAAUUUCAAACCUCGAUACUUUAAUUGUUUUAAUUUAAUAUUCAAAUCGUUUUCUAAAUAAAACGUGAAGAAAAAGAUUAUCCUGGAGGGAAUAUCCAGUCAUAAUCCCGAAUAUUAGGCUCAAGCUGUAAGAGCUUGCAAGCCGUUAAUAUUCGUCUUCUCUUUAACACUCAAAUAUUCAAAUCAUUUUCUAAAUAAAACGUGAAGAAAAAGAUUAUCCUGGAUGGAAUAUCCAGUCAUAAUCCCGAAUAUUAGGCUCAAGCUGUAAGAGCUUGCAAGCCAUAAAUAUUC
rnacentral:lncRNA from 1 species